rnacentral:rRNA from 1 species
UACGUAGGGGGCAAGCGUUGUCCGGAAUCAUUGGGCGUAAAGAGCGUGUAGGCGGUCCGGUAAGUCGGCUGUGAAAGUCCAGGGCUCAACCCUGGGAUGCCGGUCGAUACUGUCGGGCUAGAGUGCGGAAGAGGCGAGUGGAAUUCCUGGUGUAGCGGUGAAAUGCGUAGAUAUCGGGAGGAACACCAGUGGCGAAGGCGACUACCUGGCCUGUUUCUUGACGCUGAGGCGCGAAAGCUAGGGGAGCAAACGGGG